rnacentral:lncRNA from 1 species
CUGCCUCUAUUUCCCUCCUCUGAUGAACCCUAAUCCCGCCGCCUCACUAAAAUCCCUCCCAAUCCCGUUCCUAAUGGGAUUCUUUCCCCAUUCACUUACCAUUUCGAUGUUUUUCCCUUAUUUGGUGCUAUGUUACGGAGUAAAUUAAGUACUUGCCUAAACAUGGCAAGUACCCAACUUUGAUUCUGUCCUAAUCGAUUUUUACCUCUUGAAUCUGGACGACCUUAAGUCCAAACGCGUUAUUUUGUACCGUAUGAGCCCUAUUCGCUCGUAUCUUGCUGAUUCCCUAAGGUUAGGGUUUCAAAUUCUCUUUUUAUUCGAACCAAAACUGGUUCAAGCUUUAAUUUUUAGCAUUAUUUCGUCAUUAUUCACCCUAUUAUAUGUGAAUCUGCCUAUUUUUGCCGAUUUCUUUUACUUACCCAAAUUAGGGUUUCAGAUCUUCUUUAAUUUAACCAAAUCUGGUUCGAUUCUGUGUUUCUUUUUGAAUAAUGUCCUGUCUAUGUUCAUUUUAUGCUAAUAUGUGAUUCUUUGUCUUAUUUUCUGCCGAUUUUGUGGUUUACCUACAAUUAGGGUUUCAGACCCUUUUUACUUGAACCAAAUCUAGUUUGAUUUUGUGCUUCUUUUGAACAAUUUCCUGUCUAUGUUCAUUAUAUGCAUUGUGUAAAUCUUUGCCUUAUUUUUCUGCCGAUUUUGUGUAUUUUUACCUAAUGGGUUGAAUUUUACUGAUUUAAGUACUUGCCUUUAGUAUUUAAAUUAGCUAUUUCUAUGCUCUAAUCUCGGCACUAUUUAAACCCCUCCCCACUCCCCUUUGAAGAGGAGGAGAUUUAAAAAGUUCUAAAGAUCCUUUCACUACUAUAAACAAAAGCUGUAUACUCCUAUUCUCUUGAGUAAUUUUACUCUAUGCUUUGAUUCCUGGCCGGCUGAAAGCCAAGGCCAGAAAUCUCCAAGUCCUGCUUCUGUUUGGUGAUAUUUGCUACACUGUUGGAUUCUUUUCUUCCUUGUUUCAUAUUAACCGGUGAGUUAUUGAAUCUUCUGCCAUUUCAUUAUGAUUACUUGCUCAAUGUGUUACUGCAAUUAGACCAUGUUGUCCUAAAUGCUUUUACUUGUAGUUGAGACAUGUUUGAACUUAGUUUAAGCUGAUUAAUGAAAUCUGACUAAUUUUAUGUUAUUGAGGACUAUCUUUUAGAGUUAAACAUGCUUUCAUACCUCUUUAGCCAUGUAUAGAUGUGUGCCUUACCAAAUUUAUAAUGUUUGUUUGUUGAACUUGUUACGGCCUGUUUAGUUCUGUUCUCACUAUGUUAUGAUACCUCUACUAAAUUGUCUUAAUCAGUUCCUAGUGCUAAUCAAUGUGUUUUCUUUCUAUGACUUAGCCUGAUCUGAAGUCUCUGUUAUCAUUGUGACCAUGUUUAUGAACUGGCCUUAUUAGCAUGUGUCUUUGUUAAUUCUUAAAAGCAUGACUAAGUCUCAUAAGUUCAAGCAUGUCUACCAUUUGUUUGUAUAUGCUCAAUAUGUGACUCUGUCCUAAAGUGGAUUCCCUAAUUCAUUCUACUCCCCUAAUCCUUCUAAAUUCCUACUCUUAGCUGGCUGAAAGCCAAAGCUAUUUAGGUUCUGUCCUCUGACCUCCCUAGUGUGAGCACUGCUCAGGGUUCAUGUGAGACCCUUGUGAACUCUGACACACUAGGACCUAGUCCCUAGUCUUUCUUUGAACUAUUUCUGACCAAUCUCUCUAGUGUGAGCACUGCCCUGGAUUCCUGAAGCCUUUGGGAACUCUGACACACUAGAGAUUUGGGUUUUGUAUACUUAUCCUUGAAAUAUGGGUGAAUCAUUCACUACUGAUUAUUGUGUAUCUAUGAACAUGGGCUUUUGGAACUACUGUGAGUUGAAGGCUGGCCUGUCCAAGUGUAUUUGGACCUGCUGUAGGCUCCCUAUAGUUUUACUUACCUUGUAAUUCAUUCAUUAACUUCUGGUAUGUAAUAAUUAUUUGUAAUAACAAUUCUGGGGUAUUAGUAAAAAUGGGAAAAUGGUUCUUAUUUUAUACUUGCUAUAAGGUGAGGGGG